rnacentral:rRNA from 1 species
CGUGUAGGCGGUUGAAAAGUCAGGUGUGAAAUUCUUCGGCUCAACCGAGGGACUGCGCCUGAAACUUUUCGACUGGAGUUUGGGAGGGGCAACUGGAAUUCCUGGUGUAACGGUGAAAUGUGUAGAUAUCAGGAGGAACACCCGUGGCGAAGGCGGGUUGCUGGACCAAAACUGACGCUGAGACGCGAAAGCGUGGGUAGCAAACAG